rnacentral:rRNA from 1 species
GCAGCAGCCGCGGUAAUACAGAGGGUGCGAGCGUUAAUCGGAUUUACUGGGCGUAAAGCGUGCGUAGGCGGCUUUUUAAGUCGGAUGUGAAAUCCCUGAGCUUAACUUAGGAAUUGCAUUCGAUACUGGGAAGCUAGAGUAUGGGAGAGGAUGGUAGAAUUCCAGGUGUAGCGGUGAAAUGCGUAGAGAUCUGGAGGAAUACCGAUGGUGAAGGCAGCCAUCUGGCCUAAUACUGACGCUGAGGUACGAAAGCAUGGGGAGCAAACAGGAUUAGAUACCCGUGUAGUCCCUGUCUCUUAUAA